AACGAACGUUCGCGGCGCGCCUAACACAUGCAAGUCGAGUGAGAAAGGGCUUCGGCCCCGGUACAGCGGCGCACGGGUGAGUAACACGUAGGCAAUCUGCCCCUGAGUGGGGGAUAACCUUCCGAAAGGAGGGCUAAUACCGCAUGAGACCACGACCCCGCGAGGGGAUGAGGUCAAAGCCGGCCACUUCAUGAAAGCUGGCGCUUGGGGAUGAGCCUGCGGCCCAUCAGCUAGUUGGUAGGGUAAUGGCCUACCAAGGCAUAGACGGGUAGCUGGUCUGAGAGGAUGAUCAGCCACACUGGAACUGAGACACGGUCCAGUCUCCUACGGGAGGCAGCAGUGGGGAAUCUUGCGCAAUGGGCGAAAGCCUGACGCAGCGACGCCGCGUGAGUGAUGAAGGCCUUCGGGUUGUAAAGCUCUGUGGAGGGAGACGAAUAAGGCAUGGCUAACAUCCAUGUUGAUGACGGUAUCCCUUUAGCAAGCACCGGCUAACUCUGUGCCAGCCGCCGCCGUAAAAC
rnacentral:rRNA from 1 species